rnacentral:rRNA from 1 species
AACGAACGCUGGCGGCGUGGAUAAGACAUGCAAGUCGAGCGAUCAUUAGUUGGUAGCAAUAUCGGCUAGUGGGAGCGGCGCAAGGGUGCGUAACACGUGGGUAAUCUGCCAUGAAGUCUGGAAUAACUUGCUGAAAGGCGAGCUAAUACCGGAUGUGACAGCCUGGGGGCAUCUCCGGGUUGUCAAAGUUGGGGACCGUAAGGCCUGACGCUUCAUGAUGAGCCCGCGGCCUAUCAGCUAGUUGGUGAGGUAACGGCUCACCAAGGCUAAGACGGGUAGCUGGUCUGAGAGGAUGAUCAGCCACACUGGCACUGGAACACGGGCCAGACUCCUACGGGAGGCUG